CCUACGGGAGGCAGCAGUGGGGAAUAUUGCACAAUGGGGGAAACCCUGAUGCAGCGACGCCGCGUGAGUGAAGAAGUAUUUCGGUAUGUAAAGCUCUAUCAGCAGGGAAGAAAAUGACGGUACCUGAUUAAGAAGCCCCGGCUAACUACGUGCCAGCAGCCGCGGUAAUACGUAGGGGGCAAGCGUUAUCCGGAUUUACUGGGUGUUAAGGGAGCGUUGACGGUAUUGCAAGUCCGGAGUGAAAGCCCGGGGCUCAACUUCGGGACUGCUUUUGAAACUGUGUGGCUGGAGUGCAGGAGAGGUAAGCGGAAUUCGUGGUGUAGCGGUGAAAUGCGUAGAUAUCACGAGGAACACCAAUUGCGAAGGCGGCUUACUGG
rnacentral:rRNA from 1 species